UUCAAAUCUCCCUGUUCCCAUCUCAUCCACAACACAUCAUUUUACAAAUUGCUUCCAACAAGAAUCCCUAAUUCCAAAGUUACACUGAGAGGAAGCCUUUUGGGGACCAUCCCAAUUCUGAUGGAUGUCAACAGCAAAAAAGAUAUUCACUUGGGGAGCGGACUUGGGAACCCAGACUUCAAGAUAAAGGAAACUGGACAUUACGAGACUGGGUACAAAACAAUUAAAUCACCACCUCAACUACCCCUGAAGACAAUGGAAGCUUUAUCUACUCAGCCAUGGCCAGAGGCUACCAGACUAGAACAAUGAAAACAGAUCAGAAUCACCAGAGAGAAGAUAAAUGGCCACUGACCGCCCCUGCUAUGGCUCCCAUUUUCACAGACUCGGCAUGGUCUCAUCCAAAGCCAAUUUAACCAAGCAUGAUGUUGCUGAUACGAUCUCUCCAGCUGUUGGCAGGGUACUGGCCAGCCAAAACAGCAACUCCUGAAGAAUAGCAAAGUGUCAGUCUGAUGCUACUGGACAACACAGAGUCUUGCUUCUUACCUCUCUCACUUCACUUCUAUAGGAGGUCCUACGUGAAAGCUGUUGAUGACGUUUCAAUAUGCUGGCAAUGGCGCUUGUUCCCCAGUUGCCUGCUCACAUUCAUAGUCAAGCCUGGGGUAUUUGACAGAAACAACAUUUUCAGGGUAUAAGCAAAUAAUUUUAAGAGCUAGUCUUUAGAAAUUUAUUUCUCAUAGUGUAUCCAGAGAAAACAAAGGGAUUAAUUCUCAGAUUAAAAAUUCUCUACAAAA